GACGAACGCUGGCGGCGUGCUUAACACAUGCAAGUCGAGCGGAAAGGCCCUGCUUUUGUGGGGUGCUCGAGUGGCGAACGGGUGAGUAACACGUGAGUAACCUGCCCUUGACUUUGGGAUAUCUUCAGGAAACUGGGGCUAAUACCGGAUAGGAGCUCCUGCUGCAUGGUGGGGGUUGGAAAGUUUCGGCGGUUGGGGAUGGACUCGCGGCUUAUCAGCUUGUUGGUGGGGUAGUGGCUUACCAAGGCUUUGACGGGUAGCCGGCCUGAGAGGGUGACCGGCCACAUUGGGACUGAGAUACCGCCCAGACUCCUACGGGAGGCAGCAGUGGGGAAUAUUGCACAAUGGGCGGAAGCCUGAUGCAGCAACGCCGCGUGCGGGAUGACGGCCUUCGGGUUGUAAACCGCUUUCGCCUGUGACGAAGCGUGAGUGACGGUAAUGGGUAAAGAAGCACCGGCUAACUACGUG
rnacentral:rRNA from 1 species